rnacentral:snRNA from 1 species
AGGCGAAAGAAUAGUUCGC